AGUGCCCUGCGGAUGCUGAGCUGAGCGCCUCAGACAUGGCUGCCCGGAUGCAUCUGUGACAACAGGGCACACAGUAAGUGGCUAUUUCUACGCUCAGUGUCCAGACCCAUGGGCACUAAGAAUGGUUUGUAGCCUCACAUUG
rnacentral:snoRNA from 10 species